rnacentral:rRNA from 1 species
ACGGAGGGAGCUAGCGUUGUUCGGAAUUACUGGGCGUAAAGCGUACGUAGGCGGUUAUUCAAGUCAGGGGUGAAAGCCUGGAGCUCAACUCCAGAACUGCCCUUGAAACUAGAUAACUAGAAUCUUGGAGAGGUGAGUGGAAUUCCGAGUGUAGAGGUGAAAUUCGUAGAUAUUCGGAAGAACACCAGUGGCGAAGGCGGCUCACUGGACCGUUGUUGACGCUGAGGCACGAAAGCGUGGGGAGCAAACA